rnacentral:rRNA from 1 species
GAUGAACGCUGGCGGCGUGCCUAAUACAUGCAAGUCGAGCGAACAGACGAGGAGCUUGCUCCUCUGACGUUAGCGGCGGACGGGUGAGUAACACGUGGAUAACCUACCUAUAAGACUGGGAUAACUUCGGGAAACCGGAGCUAAUACCGGAUAAUAUAUUGAACCGCAUGGUUCAAUAGUGAAAGACGGUUUUGCUGUCACUUAUAGAUGGAUCCGUGCCGCAUUAGCUAGUUGGUGAGGUAACGGCUUACCAAGGCAACGAUGCGUAGCCGACCUGAGAGGGUGAUCGGCCACACUGGAACUGAGACACGGUCCAGACUCCUACGGGAGGCAGCAGUAGGGAAUCUUCCGCAAUGGGCGAAAGCCUGACGGAGCAACGCCGCGUGAGUGAUGAAGGUCUUCGGAUCGUAAAACUCUGUUAUUAGGGAAGAACAAAUGUGUAAGUAACUAUGCACGUCUUGACGGUACCUAAUCAGAAAGCCACGGCUAACUACGUG